UACUAUUCCAAAGAUAAAAAUGCACUGAAAAUGCAACCUAUAAGUUAAUAUUUCAUAGGUAGUAACUUUUCUAAAUUCCUUUUAACUCUAAGCAGCUAUCUUCUGGUGUAGAAGGAAAGUUAUAGAAAUUAAAAGUUAGGGGAAGAAAGAAAGUUAUUUUCUAUUUCUCAUGUCUGAUGGAUCUAUAAGAGUUCAAACGAUGCGUAUGUAUAUUGUCAGAAUGAUGUAAACAUUAUAGAAGUUUCGUAACAACUAAUAACUAUAUAAGGGAUUAAAAGUUUUUAAAAUUUCAGAUAAUGGACUUUUAUUAUAAGUAACUACCUAACAAAGUUUUAUCAUUUUUAAAAAUUAUUAUUAUUAUUAGGAAAUAUUGUAUGAUAUGCCCACCUUAUAUUGGUUUUGGAUUAUGAUGUGCAUAGGACCCGCAUUCAAAUAAUAAAAGAUAAAACCUAAUCAAAAGGGCCAUGAUUGAGUAGAGUUCCAAUAGGAAGUGCCUGACAAACAAAUUAUCUUAUUUUUCCAAAAGUUGUCAAUUUUUUGUAUUCCUUCUCGAAAAGAAGUCUAAUGAGAUGUAGAGAUGUUCUAAAUAUGUUAUUAAUCCUUAGAGGAAUAGAAUUUAAUUGGUCCUACAAAAAUGUGAUGUAUCAUUUG
rnacentral:lncRNA from 1 species